GUGGGGAAUAUUGGACAAUGGGCGAAAGCCUGAUCCAGCCAUGCCGCGUGUGUGAAGAAGGUCUUCGGAUUGUAAAGCACUUUAAGUUGGGAGGAAGGGCAGUAAGUUAAUACCUUGCUGUUUUGACGUUACCGACAGAAUAAGCACCGGCUAACUUCGUGCCAGCAGCCGCGGUAAUACGAAGGGUGCAAGCGUUAAUCGGAAUUACUGGGCGUAAAGCGCGCGUAGGUGGUUUUGUAAGUUGGAGGUGAAAUCCCCGGGGUCAACCUGGGAACUGCCUCCAAAACUGCAUGACUAGAGUACGGUAGAGGGUAGUGGAAUUUCCUGUGUAGCGGUGAAAUGCGUAGAUAUAGGAAGGAACACCAGUAGCGAAGGCGACUACCUGGACUGAUACUGACACUGAGGUGCGAAAGCGUGGGGAGCAAACAGGAUUAGAAACCCUUGUAGUCC
rnacentral:rRNA from 1 species